rnacentral:rRNA from 1 species
CAUGUGGUUUAAUUCGAUGAUACGCGAGGAACCUUACCCGGGCUUGAAUUGCAUUGGAAUAUUGUCAAAAGGCAAUAGCUAGUAAUAGUCAAUGUGAAGGUGCUGCAUGGUUGUCGUCAGCUCGUGCCGUGAGGUGUCGGCUUAAGUGCCAUAACGAGCGCAACCCUUAUGAUUGGUUACCAGCAUGUAGUGAUGGGGACUCCAGUCAGACUGCCGUCGUAAGAUGCGAGGAAGGUGGGGAUGACGUCAAAUCAGCACGGCCCUUACGUCCGGGGCGACACACGUGUUACAAUGGGGGGAACAAUGAGCAGCGAGACGGUGACGUCGAGCGAAUCUUCAAACCCCUCCCAGUUCGGAUAGAAGUCUGCAACUCGACUUUUUGAAGCUGGAUUCGCUAGUAAUCGCGCAUCAGCCAUGGCGCGGUGAAUACGUUCCCGGGC